UCAUAGUCUGUGCUGGGCAGUGA
rnacentral:siRNA from 1 species